UACGUAGGGGGGCAAGCGUUGUCCGGAAUCAUUGGGCGAAAGAGCGCGUAGGCGGCCCUGUAAAGUCCGCUGUGAAAGUCAAGGGCUCAACCCUUGAAUGCCGGUGGAUACUGCAGGGCUAGAGUCCGGAAGAGGCGAGUGGAAUUCCUGGUGUAGCGGUGAAAUGCGCAGAUAUCAGGAGGAACACCGAUGGCGAAGGCAGCUCGCUAGGGACGGUGACUGACGCUGGAGGCGCGAAAGCGUGGGGAGCAAACAGG
rnacentral:rRNA from 1 species